rnacentral:rRNA from 1 species
GCAGCCGCGGUAAUUCCAGCUCCAAUAGCGUAUAUUAAAGUUGUUGUGGUUAAAAAGCUCGUAGUUGAACCUUGGGCCUGGCUGGCCGGUCCCCCUCACCGGGUGCACUGAUCCAGCCGGGCCUUUCCCUCUGUGGAACCCCAUGGCCUUCACUGGCUGUGGCGGGGAAACAGGACUUUUACUUUGAAAAAAUUAGAGUGCUCCAGGCAGGCCUAUGCUCGAAUACAUUAGCAUGGAAAAAAAGAAUAGGACGUGUGGUUCUAUUUUGUUGUUUUCUAGGACCGCCGUAAUGAUUAAUAGGGACAGUCGGGGGCAUCAGUAUUCAAUUGUCAGAGGUGAAAUUCUUGGAUCCUAUUGAAGAC